rnacentral:rRNA from 1 species
GUAGCAGGGGAGCGUUGUCCGGAUUUACUGGGCGUAAAGAGCGCGCCGGCGGUCGUAUAAGUCGCGUGUGAAAGCCCCCGGCUCAACUGGGGAGGGUCACGUGAUACUGUUCGACUCGAAGGCAGGAGAGGGAAGUGGAAUUCCCGGUGUAGUGGUGAAAUGCGUAGAUAUCGGGAGGAACACCAGUGGCGAAGGCGACUUCCUGGCCUGUUCUUGACGCUGAGGCGCGAAAGCUAGGGUAGCAAACGGGAUUAGAUACCCCGGUAGUCCUAGCCGUAAACGAUGGACACUAGGUGUUGGUGGUAUCAACCCCGCCAGUGCCGAAGCUAACGCAUUAAGUGUCCCGCCUGGGGAGUACGGCCGCAAGGCUA